rnacentral:rRNA from 1 species
UAGAUACCCCACUAUGCCUAAAAGUAACAAAGCAACAAACCAACACAAGUUGCUCGCCAAACCACUACGAGUGAAAACUUAAAACUUAAAAGACUUGACGGUACUUCACCCAACCUAGAGGAGCCUGUCUAAUAACCGAUAACCCACGAUCAACCCAACCGCCACUAGCCACUCAGCCUAUAUACCGCCGUCGCCAGCCCACCUUGUGAAAGAAACCAAGUGGGCACAAUAGUCCCACACUAACACGACAGGUCGAGGUGUAGCUUAUGGGGCGGACAAAGAUGGGCUACAUUAUCUAAACCAGAUAAAACGGAAAAAGCCGUGAAAACCAAGCCUUAUGAAGGAGGAUUUAGCAGUAAGAUGAGGACAUAAUACUCAACUGAAAACAAAGAAAUGAAGUGCGUACACACCGCCCGUCACC